UACAGAGGUCUCAAGCGUUGUUCGGAUUCAUUGGGCGUAAGGGGUGCGUAGGCGGCGCGGUAAGUCGGGUGUGAAAUCUCGGAGCUUAACUCCGAAACUGCAUUCGAUACUGCCGUGCUUGAGGACUGGAGAGGAGACUGGAAUUUACGGUGUAGCGGUGGAAUGCGCAGAUAUCAGGAGGAACACCAAUUGCGAAGGCAGCUCGCUGGGACGGUACUGACGCUGAGGCGCGAAAGCGUGGGGAGCGAACAGG
rnacentral:rRNA from 1 species